AUUGGACGCUGGCGGCAGGCCUAACACAUGCAAGUCGAACGGUAACAGGAAGCAGCUUGCUGCUUUGCUGACGAGUGGCGGACGGGUGAGUAAUGUCUGGGAAACUGCCUGAUGGAGGGGGAUAACUACUGGAAACGGUAGCUAAUACCGCAUAACGUCGCAAGACCAAAGGGGGGGACCUUCGGGCCUCUUGCCAUCGGAUGUGCCCAGAUGGGAUUAGCUAGUAGGUGGGUAACGGCUCACCUAGGCGACGAUCCCUAGCUGGUCUGAGAGGAUGACCAGCCACACUGGAACUGAGACACGGUCCAGACUCCUACGGGAGGCAGCAGUGGGGAAUAUUGCACAAUGGGCGCAAGCCUGAUGCAGCCAUGCCGCGUGUAUGAAGAAGGCCUUCGGGUUGUAAAGUACUUUCAGCGGGGAGGAAGGGAGUAAAGUUAAUACCUUUGCUCAUUGACGUUACCCGCAGAAGAAGCACCGGCUAACUCCGUG
rnacentral:rRNA from 1 species